UACGUAGGGUGCGAGCGUUAAUCGGAAUUACUGGGCGUAAAGCGUGCGCAGGCGGUUCUGUAAGCCAGAUGUGAAAGCCCCGGGCUUAACCUGGGAAUGGCAUUUGGGACUGCAAGGCUUGAGUGCGGCAGAGGAGACUGGAAUUCCUGGUGUAGCAGUGAAAUGCGUAGAUAUCAGGAGGAAUACCGAUGGCGAAGGCAGGUCUCUGGGCUGACACUGACGCUCAUGCACGAAAGCGUGGGGAGCAAACAGG
rnacentral:rRNA from 1 species